AUCUCGAGACGGAGCUGGGGGAUGUGAUGCAGGAGUUUCACAAUGUAAUGGAGGAUCUCAUGGCACCAUCUUUAAGCACGCCGCAUCUCUACGAACAUCACCUGACCCAAGCAAAGAGAAGCAGUCAGGGGAACAUCAGCGCUCGUGACCACGGGACUGAAGAAAAUGAAGAGCAAUCCUUGGGAAGUAGGAUGAGUAGUGACAAGAACGAUCACGGUACAGCGAACUCGACCGCAACAUCGAAAGGUAGUCCUCCGUGAACAUGAUUCCAGUUGGUAGAGGUACUCUGUUCAUGGUUCUCCUGAUAAAGAGCACAAGGGAUCAGAUGAGAGGAUGGUGGUGUGACAACACACACUCUACAUAUGUACUGUAUAUCAAUUUACUGUAUAUAUAGUGGCAAACUGACAUGUGAAUUAAUAAAUGCAAACAUAAACACAGUAUAGGAAACAUAGCAACACACUAGUCUGAAUGAGAGGUGAAAACCGGAACAUUGAGCAAUUUUUCUUAUUUCCUUCCCGUCUGCAGCAAAACUGGGAGACACAGAUGAACUUCAGAGCUUCAUCGACAAUCUGGAUGCCGUUCUGGCGGAAAUAUAGCCUUUCAGAGCAUGCCAACAAUUACAGCGCUGGGAGCGGACGGAUCUGUAGGAUGACUAACCGGUCCUGUGCCGACUGUCAUUUGCCCCUGAGAAGAGUGCAAAAACAGCGAGAGGAGAAAUCCCCUGCUUUUCUAAACGUAUGCAAUAAUGUGUUUCAAACCAUGAAAAGCACGAACGCUCGGGUCGUUAUUUACGGAGUGGGCAAGUAUUCGCCGGCCAGCAAUAAAAGUGAAGGCAAGAAAACAACUAGCUUUUAUACGUGACACCUGCUCUGAAGAAGAACCAGAUGACCACACGUGAGUCCUUGAGGACUGGACUAAACUUGGACAGCGGUUUAUAAAUCUUUUACUUAAUUAAAAUGCAUCCUUGAGAUUUUGGGGUCCUGAAUUCACCUCCCACAGACCUGUAUCAGCAGAUUUGUAAUUAGUAAGGAAAACUUGACAGGCUGCCAGCAGAGCUCAGUGGCUCCCAGAGGAGCUCUGCUUUAAUUAUUAUACACACAUAACAUAAACCUCACAAUUUUCCAAAACCCAUUUAUUAGCUGUAGUCCAUGCACAAAUUAAAACCUUCUGCUCAGAAUUAAUUACUCCCCUUUGAUUAAUCUCCUACAAACAUGUGUUAACCCAUUGGUUCUUUAACAUCUAUUUUAGGUCAAAGUUCAGUCACAUCUGCUAUAUCACCUUUUAGAUAAUUUUGUUUAAUAUAAUAUUACAUGUUUUACCUUUUAAAUCCUUGAAACAACUAAGCAAUCAUUACCUGUAUUCGUGCUGAGAUAUUUUUAUUAUUUUAUUUCCCACUGGUAUGAUUAUGCUGUGUGCACAUGUUUCUUGGAUUGUAUUGUUAUGUGCUCUGAACAAUGAGUCCACUCUGCUAGAAAGCAAAUUUCACUGGUCUGUCAACUUAUUGCCCAUGCCUUCAGCUUACGCAUAUGUGAAAUAUCUCUGUCCAUAUGUUUUGAGUGAACUGAUCACAUAAAAUGAGCAGGCAGUGUAGUGGUUUAAACUUUUAUUUGCAACUAAAGGGUUGCUGAUUCAAGCCAAGAAGGUUUCUGCUAUAUAAUAACUGCUUUAAUAAACAUAUCCAUCCAUCCA
rnacentral:lncRNA from 1 species